UUUAACAGUGACACCCAUCACAUCUGAAGACUGAUCUAGUACAUUGUAGGCCAUGAUGGUGGUUCUGGCGGGAGGCCUUGCAGUGGCUCUGUUCAUGCUGGGCCUGGAGGUGGUGUUUGCUGGAGUCUUGCGUUAUUGACGAUUAUAAUGCUGUCAGUGACUGACAUUCUGGGAGGUGUUGGCGUUCCUGCAUUAUAUAAGAUGAUGCCGCGGCAUGUCGAGGCUCACUAGGGCCCUUCCUGCCUCCUGCUGUGGACAGACCCGCUCCUCCACACCUCGCCUCUGCGCCUGGGGUUUUGCCUUGGCGACGGCACCGCCCUGCAGGGAGGCUUCCACCAGCAGGUGAUGGAGAUCGAAUACACGCAUAUAUGUGGCAAAUAUUAAUUUUAUGUAGUGUUUUUAGGAACGAUGUAACAAAUACUUAUGAAAGUGAAUAGAGAAAAUGGCAUCCUAUCUUCGAAAAGAAACGUGUUUGUACGAAAGGCUGAGAUUCUUGUGGCUGCGCUCUGCUGGUCUCUCUCUGAGGGCAAUUGCACGGCGGUCCGGCAGGAGUUUACACACAGUGAGGCGCUGGGUGUCCCGAUGGGAGCAGCAUGGACGCCUCCGUUGUCAAGUCCAGGAUCAGCGGUUCUGCCGAGCUGUGGCUGCACACACUGAUAAGAAUGUCACUCAAGGUAUGACGGAAGGGAACCUCUCCGUCACUCAGAAAGCACUGUUCCUCCCUUGGCUGAAUGCCGCCAUGGAAUCAACGUCUUACACCUUUACCGACACUCUCUUCCUUGACCCUCAAGUUUUCAGUUUUUUUAUGGGACUCUGAAACUAAACUAAUUCAUAACAAAACCGUUUAUGAAACGUUUUAAAUUUUUGUAUCAGCAGCAACUGUGAAGCGAUGCUUCCGGGAUUAUUGCCACUUCCAUUGAAAUAUAUAGGUAAAUAAAUGCGUGAACAUAA